UCCCGAAAACGUUCGGCCACAAACUUUCCCUAAAUCCAUAAAUCUCCCACAAUGCCACAAACUCUUCGAUUUCAAGCUUCUCUCAUCUCCUAUGGCUUCUGUUACUUUUGGAUUCAAUUUCAGCACAUGUUCUUUGAAGCUCCUCCCAUCUCAUGUUUAACCGAAAAGACCAUGAUCUCUUCAGUUUUCAAUGCGGUUUAUACAUCCAGAAUCAACACAACCUUUGUAAAUAGAGAAUCCGGCAAACCAUAGAAGAAAAAUUGAAGGUACAAGAACAUCCACAAGGGUGAGUGCAUCUCAAGGUACGCCAGAAAUAAAAACGAGAUAACGGGGUAUGUUUCUAAGCGAGUGUUUUUUAAGUGUAUCAUUAUCUUUCUUUUUCCCUCCUCUACCAUAAAUAAUUUAUAUAGUGUCUCCCUUACCGGGAUGAAGUGUUUCAAUUUCAGGGUUUGUUGUCUACGUUUUCGAAUCUGAGAUUAUGUAUUCACAAGAUUCCAAAGAUUGGCUCAGCUAAUUAAAUGGAGAAAUGUUCUUUUAUUAGGACUUCUAGAAAUUAUUACUUUAUAGGUAUAAAAUUACAUUGGUCAUCUCUGCCACAGAAAUCAACUCGCCUAGAAAGAGUUCCAAACUAAAUUUGUAAAACUCAAAGAUUCUUGCUAGCUUUCUUUGUUCUUUGGCCUUUCAGGCUAUUAUUUUUAAUCCAAAAAUCAAUAAAGGCGUAAAAGAUUUAAUGUUAUGUUUUUCCUUCGCUAAUGCUCUUUCAGGCUAUUGACAAUCUUCCACGAAUCUUGUGGCCGAAUCCAAAAGAAAAUUCCUACCUCUCUUUAUUUUCAGGAACUCAUCGAUGUUAAAGAUAAUGGAAUGGCAUUUACGGCUAUAUUCAAGAAGUGGAUAUUGAUGGUACGUAUUUCUUCCAGAUCUUGAGAAUUCAAAGGAUAUAUGAAAAUCUAAUUACAAAGUUUUCAUACCCUUUGAUCUUUUUCAAAGCUCUACCAAGUCACAGUUUUAAGUGGAUGAAGUAAUACCAUGUAUCCGGGAUUACCAGGCCGGUAUAUACUUGGUAUCCAGCACAAAAGCUUGAUCGUUUAUAUUUAGUCUUAACAAAGAAAUCCAGGAUUGGUAUCUUGAUACAAGUCUAAAUUUAAGGAAACAAAGAUGGCUUGCAUGUCCAGUAAUGUAUGUGUGCUUUUGAGAAAAACAACGUUUUACCGAAAUAAACGCUUAUAAAAUUAGAGAAGAUCAACAUGAACGGUUGGCCUAACAAAGGUAAAGUCCUCGCCAUAUUAGAUUUUUCAACGAUAACAAAGGUUGGAUUUGUGUGACAUUUUUGCUUAUAGAUGAUUGUAAAGUUUCAUUUAAUACUACCAUUAGUAUACAUGUGUCCCAUGCAUCUACAUAGUAGAAGCGGAACAGUUCUCUGGAUAUGAAUAUUUUUGUAUUAAAUGUAGCA